rnacentral:misc_RNA from 1 species
AUUGCUUUGAUUGUCUGGACACAACAAUGAGUUUAUGAUUUUUUUCUUAUCUUCACCUCUUCCUAUUAUAUCUGAUUUCAAUACAGAGGAGUCUGUCUCUCUCCAAUUAUUCUUAACUUGCAUAUCUACUUUGUUUCUAGUUAUAAAGCCGAAGGUUUGCAUAUCUUUAGCAACUUCCUCUAACCUCUCUCUGAUAUCUUUGAUUCUAUGACCCAUCUUAAAACGA